GUAGGUGAACCUGCGGAAGGAUCAUUACUGAAUUGUCAAACGGGUUGUUGCUGGCCCUCAUAGGGGGCAUGUGCACGCUCUGUUUACACAUCCACUCACACCUGUGCACCCUCUGUAGUUCUAUGGUCUGGGGGACCCUGUCUUCCUUCUGUGGUUCUACGUCUCUACACACACACUGUAAUAAAGUUUUAUGGAAUGUACAUCGCGUCUAACGCAAUACAAUACAACUUUCAGCAACGGAUCUCUUGGC
rnacentral:misc_RNA from 1 species